GGACCCGUAGUGUAGCGGCCUAACACAUCUGCCUGUCGAGCAGAAGAGCGCCGGUUCGAAUCCGGUCGGGUCCG
rfam:Bacterium CG2_30_37_16 isolate CG2_30_37_16 cg2_3.0_scaffold_9104_c, whole genome shotgun sequence.